UACGUAGGGUGCGAGCGUUGUCCGGAAUUAUUGGGCGUAAAGAGCUCGUAGGCGGUCUGUCGCGUCGGUCGUGAAAACUUGGGGCUUAACCCUGAGCUUGCGGUCGAUACGGGCAUGACUGGAGUUCGGCAGGGGAGACUGGAAUUCCUGGGGUAGCGGUGAAAUGCGCAGAUAUCAGGAGGAACACCGGUGGCGAAGGCGGCAUCCGGGACCAACACUGACGCUGAGUGAGCGAAAGCCAGGGGAGCAAACGGG
rnacentral:rRNA from 1 species